UUGGAGGGCAAGUCUGGUGCCAGCAGCCGCGGUAAUUCCAGCUCCAAUAGCGUAUAUUAAAGUUGUUGCAGUUAAAAAGCUCGUAGUUGAAUUUCGGGAUCAAUAUUUCGGUCAUGCCGUUGGUAUGCACUGUUAUCAUUGAUUUCUCACCUUCUAAAGAACCGUAAUGCCAUUAAUUUGGUGUUACGGGGAAUUAGGACUGUUACCUUGAAAAAAUUAGAGUGUUUAAAGCAGGCUCACGCUUGAAUACAUUAGCAUGGAAUAAUGAAAUAGGACAUCCGAUUCUAUUUUGUUGGUUUCUAGGAUCGAUGUAAUGAUUAAUAGGGAUAGUUGGGGGCAUUAGUCUUCAAUUGUCAGAGGUGAAAUUCCUGGAUUUAUUGAAGACUAACUACUGCGAAAGCAUUUGCCAAGGAUGUUUUCAUUAACCAAGGACGAAAGUUAGGGGAUCGAAGACGAUCAGAUACCGUCGUAGUCUUAACCAUAAACUAUGCUGACUAGGGAUCGGAUGAUGUUAAUUUUUUAAUGACUCAUUCGGCGCCUUACGGGAAACCAAAGUGUUUGGGUUC
rnacentral:rRNA from 1 species